CCUAGUUAUCAUCAUGAGGUAAGAAUUCAGUACUUUGAUGCAUUGCACCUAGCACAUAUAUAUAUCUUAAUCACGUACUUCAAUGCAGGAAACAGGGACACUGUUUAGUUUCUUUGUGCUUUUUUCCCAGCUAUCGAGUAACCUUUAAUAGUAGAAAUUAAUGGAAAUUCAAUUCAUAUUCAUAGGUUUGUAGUGCUCUCUCAUGGUACAACAAAACUUUUUCUUGGAAAACUAGUACAUGACAAAACAGAAUACUAGUAUUGAGAUUGAUGUUCAUGCACCAUGAGAUUUCAGGUUACAUGGAGGUUUUAUGUAAAGGUUUUAUGUUCAUGCACCAAGGCUUAGGGCUUGUUUGUCACCUCAUCUUAGGGCUUGUUUACUUGCACCAAGGUUUUAUGUUUAGAUUGCACCAAGGUUUUAUGUUCAGAUUGAUGUUCUUGCAUCCACUAUACUUAGGGCUUGUUUGUCACCUCAUCCAAAAGCAAACAUUUAUAUCUUCUAUCAUGUUAUUCAGUGUGCAAUUUUUACGAGUUUGAUCCCUUGUUUUCCAUCCACUGAAUAGGCAUUCUUCGGAUACAUCGGAUCAAAUCCUGCUGGAGGAACCAGAGAGUUGGAAAAUCUCAUGUCUCACAAGAAAUGCUUAUCACCCCAAUGUCAUAUACGCCAAGAUAAGCUGCUGGAAUUUCACCAUUGCCCUUGGAUAUUGCUACAAGGAAAUUACUAGUCAGCAUCCAGUUUGAAGACAUGCAACAAAACAACUCUAGAAGCUAUGGAGCUGGUAGAUUCUGGAGUUGGCAGUGAGGUAGUGAUCCAACUUGGGCUUUGAAGCCAUGGUGCUUUCUCUAGACGGCUAUUAUGUCUGUAGUGUUGUUAGAAUAAUCCUGGUUCUGUGUUUUCAUAACUUCAUCAUGCUUGAAGCAUUAGGGUAGCUCUGGAGCUUUUGUGAAUGAUCUAGCUAGCUAUCUGUAAAUGAUCUAGUUGUGAAUGAUAUUAUAAUUCUGAUGCUUUUGUGAAUAUAUAAUUGUGUUUGUGUA
rnacentral:lncRNA from 1 species